rnacentral:misc_RNA from 1 species
AAGAAACAUUUCUUCUUUCACUACCCUACCUACCCAUAUCGCCAUCCUUGAUUCUCUUCUUCUCCCUUCAUUUCUUGAUCUCUUCUUGCUGCCCUACCUCCUCAUUUCUUCUCUAGUCUUUUACUUUCUCUUUGUUUAAUGACGCAACACCUUAAUGCCGUAGUCAAACGCUGCUACACAGCAACACCACAGCGCACAACCUUGCAAUACCACAAGGCAUAACGCCGCAGUACUGCAACACUGAAGCACCACAGACCCAUAACACUUCCUUUUCUAUUUCUUUUAUUUUUUCAGUUUAUUUUUUGCAUUUUUUAAUGUUGCUCUAUCUUGUUUUGGACAAUUGUGAUUUUGAUGAUUAUGGUUUUGAGUUACUAAAAAUUUUGUAUAUCAUUGAUUUAUUUAUGUGUUGAUGAAAAUUUUUGUUAUUAU